rnacentral:rRNA from 1 species
UUCCGGUUGAUCCUGCCGGAGGCCAUUGCUAUCGGAGUCCGAUUUAGCCAUGCUAGUCGCACGGGUUCAGACCCGUGGCGAAUAGCUCCGUAACACGUGGCCAAACUACCCUACAGAGGACCAUAACCCCGGGAAACUGAGGCUAAUAGUCCAUACGAGACGUACGCUGGAAUGCCACGUCUCAGAAAUGCUCCGGCGCUGUAGGAUGUGGCUGCGGCCGAUUAGGUAGACGGUGGGGUAACGGCCCACCGUGCCGAUAAUCGGUACGGGUUGUGAGAGCAAGAGCCCGGAGACGGAAUCUGAGACAAGAUUCCGGGCCCUACGGGGCGCAGCAGGCGCGAAACCUUUACACUGCACGACAGUGCGAUAAGGGGACUCCGAGUGCGAGGGCAUAUCGUCCUCGCUUUUCUCGACCGUAGGGAGGUCGAGGAACAAGAGCUGGGCAAGACCGGUGCCAGCCGCCGCGGUAAUACCGGCAGCUCGAGUGAUGGCCGAUCUUAUUGGGCCUAAAGCGUCCGUAGCCGGCCAGACAAGUCCGUCGGGAAAUCCACCCGCUCAACGGGUGGGCGUCCGGCGGAAACUCUCUGGCUUGGGACCAGACGACCCGAGGGGUACGUCCGGGGUAGGAGUGAAAUCCCGUAAUCCUGGACGGACCACCGAUAGCGAAAGCACCUCGGGAGGAUGGAUCCGACGGUGAGGGACGAAAGCUGGGGUCUCGAACCGGAUUAGAUACCCGGGUAGUCCCAGCCGUAAACGAUGUCUGCUAGGUGUGGCACAGGCUACGCGCCUGUGCUGUGCCGUAGGGAAGCCGAGAAGCAGACCGCCUGGGAAGUACGUCCGCAAGGAUGAAACUUAAAGGAAUUGGCGGGGGAGCACUACAGCCGGAGGAGCCUGCGGUUUAAUUGGAAUCAACGCCGGA